GGCAUCCAUUCAACAAAUUCAUUGAUUUAGUAACAUUUUUGUCAAUCACCGUUCACCGAUAUACAAAACGAUGGGCCAAGUUAAUUCAAGCGCUGUUGUUACUGCGAUAAUGUUUGGAUUCCAGAAAUCAUAUCCAGUUGGAUGAAAUAUCGGUCAUUUUUUGUGUGAGCGACUGAGGUUACAUUAGCUUUCUCCUAUCAUGACAGUCAGUUAAGGGUGGGUUGAAAAUUGAUGAUGGUGUUGGGUGAUUGCUUAUCGUUGAUCGGUGGUCGAGAUUUUUUGCACAACAGAUAUGAUGUUGUUGGGUUUUAUUUUGUUGCUUUGUAUCAGAUUUUGUUAUUUUGGUUAAAAGAGAAUCAUUGAUUUACAUUUCUUUUUUUUUAAGUUUGUUUCAGCAAAAUCGUGGAAAUUAUCCGUUUAGUCCUCCUCCACCACAACUCCCACCUCAGCCGACGUUUUCUAAAACUUUUUUCCGACAGAAACAUCAUUUAUCCGGUUUAAGUGUUCAACCACUACUGAAUGUUAAUGAAGAUGUUGAUUUUUGAAGAUC